UGAUGGUCUGCAUGCUAGAAGAAAGAGGCUGUCUUCUUAACACACUGAGAUUCCAGAAAUGCUGGCACUAACCCAGGGGAAAUCACACGAGGUUGGUCAUGAAAGAGAUUCCUUGCAGAGACAGCUCAACACUCCACCUCCACAGGAGUUCACGGCACUUACUAAAGAAGUCAAUGUAUGCAGGGAACAGCUCCUUGAAAGGAAAGAAGAAACUGCUGAAAAAUGAAAGCAGAAAGGAACACCACCAGGCUACUAUUAGAGCAUUUGGAAUGCCCUGUCUCCAGGCAUGAGCGGUAUCUCAGGAUGACAGUGAUGAAGAAACAAGUGCAGUCUCCAGCAGGCAUGUCCAGCGAAGCUGAAGUGCUGAAAGCACUGAAGUCAUUAUCUGAACAGCACAAAGCUCUGGAUGAAAAGGUGAGAGCGCGAUUAUGAGCAGCACUUG
rnacentral:lncRNA from 10 species